CGGACGACGCUGGCGGCGUGCCUAACACAUGUAAGUCGAGCGGGGUUAACCGCAAGGUUGACCUAGCGGCGAACGGGUGAGUAACGCGUGGAUAACCUACCUCAAGGUCUGGGAUAACAGCUCGAAAGGGCUGCUAAUACCGGAUGUGGUGCAUAUGCUGCAUGGUAGAUGCACUAAAGGGGAAACCCGCCAUGAGAUGGGUCCGCGUCCCAUCAGCUAGUUGGUAGGGGUAAAGGCCUACCAAGGCGACGGACGGGUAGCCGGCCUGAGGAGGGUGACCGGCCACACGUGGGACUGAGACACCGGCCCAGACUCCUACGGGGGGCAGCAGUGGGGAAUAUUGCACAAUGGGCGAAAGCCUGAUGCAGCGACGCCGCGUGGGCGAAGAAGGCCUUCGGGUUGUAAAGCCCUGUCUGGAGGGACGAAGUAAUGACGGUACCUCCGGAGGAAGCCACGGCUAACUACGUG
rnacentral:rRNA from 1 species